GAAUUGGUUUGUGCUGCUGAUGAACCAUCUGUUGAAGUUGGCUCUGCUGGCGUACAAUGAAGCCUUCAUAUUUGAUAUCAAUCUCUACGCACUGUUUCUCCAUUCUGGACAGAGUGCAAUUUCCAAACCCAUGCUUAUCAAAAACUCCGUAUUGUACAUGUGGUUUCUUAAGCAGGCUCUCUAGUGUUGAUGAAUCCCUUACUGGCUGAGCAGAGAGAAGAGUAACUUCAGCGGCCAACUCUCCACCUGAAAUUCUAACUGCUUUCAACCGUUUUUUCUCCUCCAUGAUACGAGC
rnacentral:misc_RNA from 1 species